UACGUAGGGGGCAAGCGUUGUCCGGAUUUAUUGGGCGUAAAGAGCGUGUAGGCGGUUUGGUAGGUCCGCUGUGAAAACUCGAGGCUCAACCUCGAGACGCCGGUGGAAACCUCAGGCUAGAGUCCGGAAGAGGAGAGUGGAAUUCCUGGUGUAGCGGUGAAAUGCGCAGAUAUCAGGAAGAACACCCGUGGCUAAGGCGGCUCUCUAGUACGGUACUGACGCUGAGACGCGAAAGCGUGGGGAGCGAACAGG
rnacentral:rRNA from 1 species